AAACAGUUAGCUCAGUUGGUUAGAGCGUGUAUGUUCAACUUAAUACUGCAAGCCCGACGCACCACUAAUAGAGAAAUAGGGUGCUAAUAACGCCAAGGUCGCGAGUUCGACCCUCGUAGUGACCA